UUUGUACGCGAAGAACCCUACCAGGUCCCGACAUCCUCCGACAAUCCUAGAGAUAGGACGUCCCCUUCGGGGGCAGAGUGACAGGUGGUCCAUGGCAGUCGUCAGCUCGUGUCGUGAGAUGUUGGGUUAAGUCCCGCAACGAGCGCAACCCUUGAUCUUAGUUGCCAGCAUUCAAUUGGGCACUCUAAGGUGACUGCCGGUGACAAACCGGAGGAAGGUGGGGAUGACGUCAAAUCAUCAUGCCCCUUAUGACCUGGGCUACACACGUCAUACAAUGGACAGAACAAAGGGCAGCGAAACCGCGAGGUUAAGCCAAUCCCACAAAUCUGUUCUCAGUUCGGAUUUUUCUCUGCAACUCGACUGCGUGAAGCUGGAAUCGCUAGUAAUCGCGGAUCAUCAUGCCGCGGUGAAUACGUUCCCGGGUCUUGUACACCAGCAA
rnacentral:rRNA from 1 species